AGAAAAAAAACAUGAAAAAAUUUUAAAUAUCAUUUUCUGUGGUUUCGUAUUUUCUCACUUUAGUACCUUAAUUAUAGUUUAAGGUGUAUCACUUUCGUGUACUGUGGUUUUAUUUUUUUUCUUUUCUUAUCAAUUAUAUGUAGAGUAUCUGAGGUUUUUUUUGUAUAUGAUUUAACAAAACGUUAACGGAGAGGUUGAUAAGAAAAAAAAAAACCACAAGAUACAAAAUUGAUACACUUUAAAUCGCAGGAUACUGAAGCGAGAAAGUGCGAAAAUCACAUAGGUAGUAUUUGAACUUUGUCCUAAAAA
rnacentral:lncRNA from 1 species